UGUAAGAUGAAUCGACGAAUGUUGGACGUAGUUUGGUGACGAUUUGACGUAGUUUGAAGAAUAUCAAUGAUUUCCAUGUGAUUAUAAUGAAUGAUGGAAGAAGAUGAAUGGAUAAAUGUACGUGAAUGAACGAUGCUGAUUUGGGAAAUGUUGUUCAAAGUUUAACUUGAGUGAAGUUUAAUAAUUGAUAGAUCAUCGUAAAUGAUUGAGAGCGAAUAUUAGAACAGAAAUGAUGUUAAUGAUUGAUGAUUUGAGGAAAUCUGUUUAGCGAUUAAUUUAGUGUAUAACAAUGGUUAAUAUUCGAUGAGGAACAAAUGUGACAAGAUUUGAUUAAAUUUGAGAGAAGUUUGAUGAUUAAUGGACGACACGAUUAUCGUUGAUCAAUAUUAAAAGAAAAGAGAUAUAGAAAUUAUUGAACAAAUAAUUUGGUUCAAAUAUCAAUGAUCAUUGAUGAUACGAAAAUUUUAUUGUAACUAAUAUUUGAUGAAUGUAGUUGAAAAAUUAAUUAACUCGACUAAAACUUUUCUGGAUCAUUUCCAAUCAAAUGAUAGGAAUUCAAGAUUAAAAAAAAAAGAAAAAGGAAAGUUUCUCUUGAUAUACAAGUUGGAAAAUUACAUCCUUCCUUUCUAAGAAUGUUUAACAUAAUAUUCUUUAGUAGUAAAAGCCGAUACAUAGCGAGACGAAGUCAUAACGCGAAUUAAAAUUACCCUCGACGAAAGUUGGCAUGGAAGAGUUUCUAAGCUGGAGGCUCUUCUCAAAACUUUUCUCAACAUCCUAGGAAAAAAUAAAAAAAUAAAAA